rnacentral:rRNA from 1 species
UACAGAGGUCUCAAGCGUUGUUCGGAUUCAUUGGGCGUAAAGGGUGCGUAGGCGGCGCGGUAAGUCGGGUGUGAAAUCUCGGGGCUUAACUCCGAAACUGCAUUCGAUACUGCCGUGCUUGAGGACUGGAGAGGAGACUGGAAUUUACGGUGUAGCGGUGAAAUGCGUAGAUAUCGUAAGGAAGACCAGUGGCGAAGGCGGGUCUCUGGACAGUUCCUGACGCUGAGGCACGAAAGCGUGGGGAGCGAACAGG